GAGUUUGAUCCUGGCUCAGGAUGAACGCUGGCGGCGUGCCUAACACAUGCAAGUCGAGCGAGUGAAUCUCCUUCGGGAGUGAAGCUAGCGGCGGACGGGUGAGUAACACGUGGGCAACCUGCCUCAUAGAGGGGAAUAGCCUUCCGAAAGGAAGAUUAAUACCGCAUAAGAUUGUAGCUUCGCAUGAAGUAGCAAUUAAAGGAGCAAUCCGCUUUGAGAUGGCCUCGCGUCCGAUUAGCUAGUUGGUGAGGUAAUGGCCCACCAAGGCGACGAUCGGUAGCCGGACUGAGAGGUUGAACGGCCACAUUGGGACUGAGACACGGCCCAGACUCCUACGGGAGGCAGCAGUGGGGGAUAUUGCACAAUGGGGGAAACCCUGAUGCAGCGACGCCGCGUGGAGGAAGAAGGUUUUCGGAUUGUAAACUCCUGUCGUUAGGGACGAUAAUGACGGUACCUAACAAGAAAGCACCGGCUAACUACGUGCCAGCCGCCGCGGUAAUUC
rnacentral:rRNA from 1 species